AGGAUGAACGCUGGCGGCGUGCCUAAUACAUGCAAGUCGAACGAGGUCUUCGGACCGAGUGGCGAACGGGUGAGUAACACGUUGGUACCUACCCCGAAGUGGGAAUAACUGCCCGAAAGGGUGGCUAAUACCGCAUAAUACCGCAAGGUUAAAGCAGUAAUGCGCUUCGGGAGGGGCCUGCGUCCCAUUAGCUAGUUGGUAGGGUAAUGGCCUACCAAGGCGACGAUGGGUAGCUGGAUCGAGAGGUUGACCAGCCACACUGGGACUGAGAUACGGCCCCAGACUCCUACGGGAGGCAGCAGUAAGGAAUCUUCCACAAUGGACGAAAGUCUGAUGGAGCAACGCCGCGUGCAGGAUGACGGCCUUCGGGUUGUAAACUGCUUUUAUAUGGAAGAUUAUGACGGUACCAUAUGAAUAAGGACCGGCUAACUACGUGCCAGCAGCCGC
rnacentral:rRNA from 1 species